CGCGGGUCUCCUCGCGUGCAGCGCCUCCAGCAGCCACGCUCUUGGCCACAACCGCAGCGUUGGAACUGCGCGAGGGGGGAUGAGGGGUCCAACCUAGGAAGCAGCGCCAACCGGGCUCCCCGGGCUGGGAGGCCCCGAGCCGAGGGCGCCACCUGUGGGAUCACGCCCCUCUAGCCGUGUGCUCAGGGCAUGACAUGAGGGUAGGCAGCCUUGGCCGGGUUGCCACUAGGAUUCAGACCCGGUCUCGCUGACAUCAGAGAUUGCCGGACCCUGAUACCCUGGGUGGGACUUCCGCAUCCUGGGUUUUCCCAUCGCUAGGAAUGUUUUACUGGUAACAAUAGUUGAGUUGAGAAGAUCCAUGCUCAUCCUGCGCGUUUCAGCACCAUUCGGCUGCUAGGUGACUUACCAAGCAUUGCCUGGGAGAGUCGUCUAUCAUUUUAAGUAAACGCCUUGGGAAAAGAAGUACCAUUCAUUAUCUAUAAUUUAUAUACCAUAUCUUAAUUAAAAUGCAAAGAAGAUAUGCCUUAAGAGUGGAGACCAGAGCAUUAGGGGCUGCGCAAAUACUUCUUGGCUUUUUUCACUGUGCACUGGGGAUUCUCUGUGAAUGUUUGUUUAUCAGAGAGGCGGGCUUACAACGUGUUGGUUACAUCCCUACAUUUGUUAUGAUAAUUUACGCAUUUUGGUCAGCACCAUAUUGUGUUUCUGGCAUUGUUAUGAAUAUCUUAAGUGCCUGCUUUGCUGUACUUGGUGCAGUUGCCUUAAUCAUUGCGUGUGCAAGUUUUCAGUCAGAAGAAGAUUACACUUGGACACAGUUGGCUGGUACUAUGCUUUUACACUAUUUACUCUUCAUUGCUGUCUCAGAACUGAUCAUUGCAAGUAUAACUAUCCACUGGAUUGUGCAAGCAUUGCAGUAUCAAGAAUACGGCGAUGAGAGUUCCUCACUAUCAGAAUUCUCCAUCUCUUCAUAAUUUGCAAAGAACCGGUGUGACUCUAGUCAAGAGCAAAAGAUGAAUCGUGAAUUAGUGAAGAACUCCAUAAUUUUUUUCAAGAGGCCUGAUGGAGAAUGCAUUUUAAUGAAGUCCUUUCUAGUACUCCUUUUUCCUACUUCUUCAAUAAAGGAUGCAAUUUGAUCACAAG
rnacentral:lncRNA from 1 species